GAGACCCACGCCAACAGUUGCUAGCUCGUCCUCCGGGAUGGAGAGGACACUGUUGGGACCGCCUCUGCUAAAGAGGAGGAAGGAAUGGGCAACGGUAGGUCAGCAUGCCCCGAAUUAACUGGGCUACACGCGGGCUACAAUGGGUGGGACAAUGGGUAUCGACACCGAAAGGUGAAGGCAAUCUCCUAAACCCAUCCGUAGUUCGGAUUGUGGGCUGCAACUCGCCCACAUGAAGCUGGAAUCCGUAGUAAUCGUGUCUCAAUAUGGCACGGUGAAUAU
rnacentral:rRNA from 1 species